UACUAACUUGCGAUAAGCGCAGAUAAGGCAGUAAGAGCCGUUUGAGUCUGCGAUUUCCGAAUGGGGAAACCCAACUGCAUAAGCAGUUACUGUUAACUGAAUACAUAGGUUAACAGAGCAAACCGGGGGAACUGAAACAUCUAAGUACCCCGAGGAGAAGAAAUCAACCGAGAUUCCGGUAGUAGCGGCGAGCGAACCUGGAUUAGCCCUUAAGCACUCGGUGAAGUAGGUGAACAAGCUGGAAAGCUUGGCGAUACAGGGUGAUAGCCCCGUAACCGACGCUUCAUCGAGCGUGAAAUCGAGUAGGGCGGGACACGUGAUAUCCUGUCUGAAUAUGGGGGGACCAUCCUCCAAGGCUAAAUACUCCUGACUGACCGAUAGUGAACCAGUACCGUGAGGGAAAGGCGAAAAGAACCCCUGUGAGGGGAGUGAAAUAGAACCUGAAACCGUGUACGUACAAGCAGUAGGAGCACCUUCGUGGUGUGACUGCGUACCUUUUGUAUAAUGGGUCAGCGACUUAUAUUCAGUGGCAAGGUUAACCGUAUAGGGGAGCCGUAGCGAAAGCGAGUCUUAACUGGGCGCUCAGUCUCUGGAUAUAGACCCGAAACCGGGUGAUCUAGCCAUGGGCAGGUUGAAGGUUGAGUAACAUCAACUGGAGGACCGAACCGACUAAUGUUGAAAAAUUAGCGGAUGACUUGUGGCUAGGGGUGAAAGGCCAAUCAAACUCGGAGAUAGCUGGUUCUCCCCGAAAGCUAUUUAGGUAGCGCCUCGGACGAAUACUACUGGGGGUAGAGCACUGUUAAGGCUAGGGGGUCAUCCCGACUUACCAACCCUUUGCAAACUCCGAAUACCAGUAAGUACUAUCCGGGAGACACACGGCGGGUGCUAACGUCCGUCGUGGAGAGGGAAACAACCCAGACCGCCAGCUAAGGUCCCAAAGUAUUGCUAAGUGGGAAACGAUGUGGGAAGGCUCAGACAGCUAGGAUGUUGGCUUAGAAGCAGCCAUCAUUUAAAGAAAGCGUAAUAGCUCACUAGUCGAGUCGGCCUGCGCGGAAGAUGUAACGGGGCUAAGCAAUACACCGAAGCUGCGGCAAUGUCUUUUAGACAUUGGGUAGGGGAGCGUUCUGUAAGCCGUUGAAGGUGAAUCGUAAGGUUUGCUGGAGGUAUCAGAAGUGCGAAUGCUGACAUGAGUAACGACAAAGGGGGUGAAAAACCUCCUCGCCGGAAGACCAAGGGUUCCUGUCCAACGUUAAUCGGGGCAGGGUGAGUCGACCCCUAAGGUGAGGCCGAAAGGCGUAAUCGAUGGGAAACGGGUUAAUAUUCCCGUACUUCUGACUAUUGCGAUGGGGGGACGGAGAAGGCUAGGUGGGCCAGGCGACGGUUGUCCUGGUUCAAGUGCGUAGGCUUGAGAGUUAGGUAAAUCCGGCUCUCUCUAAGGCUGAGACACGACGUCGAGCUACUACGGUAGUGAAGUCAUUGAUGCCAUGCUUCCAGGAAAAGCCUCUAAGCUUCAGAUAGUCAGGAAUCGUACCCCAAACCGACACAGGUGGUCGGGUAGAGAAUACCAAGGCGCUUGAGAGAACUCGGGUGAAGGAACUAGGCAAAAUGGUACCGUAACUUCGGGAGAAGGUACGCUCUUGAUGGUGAAGUCCCUCGCGGAUGGAGCUGACGAGAGUCGCAGAUACCAGGUGGCUGCAACUGUUUAUUAAAAACACAGCACUGUGCAAAAUCGCAAGAUGACGUAUACGGUGUGACGCCUGCCCGGUGCCGGAAGGUUAAUUGAUGGGGUUAGCGCAAGCGAAGCUCUUGAUCGAAGCCCCGGUAAACGGCGGCCGUAACUAUAACGGUCCUAAGGUAGCGAAAUUCCUUGUCGGGUAAGUUCCGACCUGCACGAAUGGCGUAAUGAUGGCCACGCUGUCUCCACCCGAGACUCAGUGAAAUUGAAAUCGCUGUGAAGAUGCAGUGUACCCGCGGCUAGACGGAAAGACCCCGUGAACCUUUACUACAGCUUGGCACUGAACAUUGAACCUACAUGUGUAGGAUAGGUGGGAGGCUAUGAAGACGUGACGCCAGUUGCGUUGGAGCCGUCCUUGAAAUACCACCCUUGUAUGU
rnacentral:rRNA from 1 species